rnacentral:rRNA from 1 species
UACGUAGGGAGCAAGCGUUGUCCGGAAUCAUUGGGCGUAAAGCGCGCGUAGGUGGCUCUGUAAGUCCGUUGUGAAAGUCAAAGGCUCAACCUUUGAAAGCCGAUGGAUACUGCAGAGCUAGAGUACGGAAGAGGCGAGUGGAAUUCCUGGUGUAGCGGUGGAAUGCGCAGAUAUCAGGAGGAACACCAAUAGCGAAGGCAGCUCGCUGGGACGUUACUGACACUGAGGCGCGAAAGCGUGGGGAGCGAACAGG